AUGAGAUCACGAAUACAAGCGGCUGAAAUGAGUUUCCUCCGCAAAGUGUCUGGGCUUUCCCUUUGUAAAGGACACAUGAUGCUUCAGCAGGGCUUGAAAUACAGCGGUUUGCGUUUCUUUUAUUUUGACAAGUCAUUGGGUGUCUUUAGUUUGCAUAGUUAAUUGUGCGGUUUUGCCGGGAAUAGGAAAGGAAAAUGGCGACAUAUGGGGUUAACAAUCAAGCACCUUGCUGAAAGGUGAACGAGCUCUUACGGUGUGUUUAUGGAACAAGGUCACGGAAAUGAUAAUAAAAUGCAAGAAGAUGCGAGAAGUUGGUGAGGUAGAGAAAUAUAUCAAACUGGUGGUACACAACCAAAGUCAUCUGGAUAUGCUAGGCAGUCAGCCCAGCUUGUGAAGGUCAGAAGGAAAAUGAGAGGUCAGCCACUUUAGUUUAUGUGCAGCCAGACUGAUCAAAGGAAGAGGCCAGAGGAAAGGAAUGCGUUUUGAUUUCAUGAAAAUAAGAACUCCAUCUAGGAUAUUUUCUCUAAAAUACAUACCAGCAACUAGAACCAAGAGGACCUGGCUCUGCUAAUC